rnacentral:rRNA from 1 species
GACGAACGCUGGCGGCGUGCUUAACACAUGCAAGUCGAACGGAAAGGCCCUGCUUGUGUGGGGUGCUCGAGUGGCGAACGGGUGAGUAACACGUGAGUAACCUGCCCUUGACUUUGGGAUAACUUCAGGAAACUGGGGCUAAUACAGGAUAGGAGCUCCUGCUGCAUGGUGGGGGUUGGAAAGUUUCGGCGGUUGGGGAUGGACUCGCGGCUUAUCAGCUUGUUGGUGGGGUAGUGGCUUACCAAGGCUUUGACGGGUAGCCGGCCUGAGAGGGUGACCGGCCACAUUGGGACUGAGAUACGGCCCAGACUCCUACGUGAGGCAGCAGUGGGGAAUAUUGCACAAUGGGCGGAAGCCUGAUGCAGCAACGCCGCGUGCGGGAUGACGGCCUUCGGGUUGUAAACCGCUUUCGCCUGUGACGAAGCGUGAGUGACGGUAAUGGGUAAAGAAGCACCGGCUAACUACGUG